GGGAUUGUGCCAGCCGCCGCGGUAAUACGUAGGGUGCGAGCGUUGUCCGGAAUUACUGGGCGUAAAGAGCUCGUAGGUGGUUUGUCGCGUUGUUCGUGAAAUCUCACGGCUUAACUGUGAGCGUGCGGGCGAUACGGGCAGACUGGAGUUCUGCAGGGGAGACUGGAAUUCCUGGUGUAGCGGUGGAAUGCGCAGAUAUCAGGAGGAACACCGGUGGCGAAGGCGGGUCUCUGGGCAGUAACUGACGCUGAGGAGCGAAAGCUUGGGGAGCGAACAGGAUUAGAUACCCUGGUAGUCCACACCGUAAACGGUGGGUACUAGGUGUGGGUUUCCUUCCUUGGGAUCCGUGCCGUAGCUAACGCAUUAAGUACCCCGCCUGGGGAGUACGGCCGCAAGGCUAAAAACUCAAAGGAAUUGACGGGGGCCCGCACAAGCGGCGGAGCAUGUGGAUUAAUUCGAUGCAACGCGAAGAACCUUACCUGGGUUUGACAUGCACAGGACGCCGGCAGAGAUGUCGGUUCCCUUGUGGCCUGUGUGCAGGUGGUGCAUGGCUGUCGUCAGCUCGUGUCGUGAGAUGUUGGGUUAAGUCCCGCAACGAGCGCAACCCUUGUCUCAUGUUGCCAGCGGGUAAUGCCGGGGACUCGUGAGAGACUGCCGGGGUCAACUCGGAGGAAGGUGGGGAUGACGUCAAGUCAUCAUGCCCCUUAUGUCCAGGGCUUCACACAUGCUACAAUGGCCGGUACAAAGGGCUGCGAUGCCGCGAGGUUAAGCGAAUCCUUUUAAAGCCGGUCUCAGUUCGGAUCGGGGUCUGCAACUCGACCCCGUGAAGUCGGAGUCGCUAGUAAUCGCAGAUCAGCAACGCUGCGGUGAAUACGUUCCCGGGCCUUGUACACACCGCCCGUC
rnacentral:rRNA from 1 species